UACGGAGGGGGCUAGCGUUGUUCGGAAUUACUGGGCGUAAAGCGCACGUAGGCGGCUUUGUAAGUUAGAGGUGAAAGCCCAGGGCUUAACCCUGGAAUUGCCUUUAAGACUGCAUCGCUAGAAUCGUGGAGAGGUGAGUGGAAUUCCGAGUGUAGAGGUGGAAUUCGUAGAUAUUCGGAAGAACACCAGUGGCGAAGGCGGCUCACUGGACCGGUAUUGACGCUGAGGUGCGAAAGCGUGGGGAGCAAACAGG
rnacentral:rRNA from 1 species